rnacentral:rRNA from 1 species
UACGGAGGGGGCUAGCGUUGUUCGGAAUUACUGGGCGUAAAGCGCACGUAGGCGGCUUUGUAAGUUAGAGGUGAAAGCCCAGGGCUUAACCCUGGAAUUGCCUUUAAGACUGCAUCGCUAGAAUCGUGGAGAGGUAAGUGGAAUUCCGAGUGUAGAGGUGAAAUUCGUAGAUAUUCGGAAGAACACCAGUGGCGAAGGCGACUUACUGGACAAGUAUUGACGCUGAGGUGCGAAAGCGUGGGGAGCAAACAGG